rnacentral:rRNA from 1 species
UACGUAGGGGGGCAAGCGUUGUCCGGAUUUAUUGGGCGUAAAGAGCGUGUAGGCGGCCAUACAGGUCAGCUGUGAAAACUCGAGGCUCAACCUCGAGACGUCGGUUGAAACCGUAUGGCUAGAGUCCGGAAGAGGAGAGUGGAAUUCCCGGUGUAGCGGUGAAAUGCGCAAGUAUACGGUGGAAGAACACCUAUGGCGAAGGCAGCUCUCUGGGACGGUACUGACGCUGAGACGCGAAAGCGUGGGGAGCGAACAGG